GCCAUUUGAACUUAGGAUUUAAUUAGGAGAUGGGUCUGCAUUCCUUCUACCAUUUUCUGAUUAUCCUUGCAUUAAUCGCAUCCUUUUUGUUCAUGCUGUCGACUCAAGUUAGUGCAGGUCUGUCUUGAUGAUGAUUUUGCAUUUUUUAUAUUUAUAAUCAAUAAAAUUGUGAAGAUUCAAAGCACAAAAGCAAUUCAAAGCAGAAUAUAUUUACAUUUAAACUGCAUGCAUGCAUGUACCCAAUUCUUGUGUUCCUAGAAUACAUGCAUCUUAGCAGGUUCAAUUGAUUUACUCAUUCAUUCGCACAUUAGACGUUCGAUCCCUAUGACACACACACACACAUAUAUAACUACGAGUUUUCAUAUAUAGUUCCGUUGUGAAAAGAUCAUGACUGGCUAGCAACGACAUAUUUUAGUUAUGUUAAAACUAAAACACAUCUAUAUAUCAUUUGAUGUGAAAUACUAAAGCUAUUAAUGCAUCUAAUUUAUUAAUUUCCUGAGAAACACUAGUCAAUGAGGACUUCGGGAGACGUGUCUCUCUUGUAGUACGUAGUGUCUAAUUUCUCAUUAUGCAUGCAAUAUUAGUCGAUCACCUGCAAGUUUUUUCAUGCCAUCAAGGCAAGUUAACUAAUGCAGCUUUUUCUGGGCAUAUGGAAAUUAAGUUCAGUAACUAAUGAAACGUACAUGUAUUUGAUGAAUUUUAAAUAUGUAAGAGUAAUAAAUUAAUUAAUGACUAUAUAAUUAUUUUUGGGAGACAGAUUCGGAGAUUCGGAGAAAGCUUGGGAUCCACCCAAUGCCCACUACUCCAGCUUAAACCCCCCAGAACCGAACCGGGCGGUUAUACUAAUUAUACGUGGUAAGUAGGCACGUAC
rnacentral:lncRNA from 1 species